rnacentral:antisense_RNA from 1 species
UGUAGGAGCUGGCUUGCCUGCGAUGCAAACACCGCGGUGUAUCAGCUACACCAGGGUGAUGCUAUCGCAGGCAAGCCAGCUCCCACA